rnacentral:lncRNA from 1 species
CUGCUCAGCGCUGUUUGCCAUGGUAUGUAUAAGACUUGUGAGUCUUUGUAAUCUGUCAGUUGUGACUUUUUAAAUUUUCAUUUCAACAAAUUUGAGUAGCUGCCAGAUACUGUUCAGGCUCCUGGAACGCCUGAGGCUGGCAUGCUCAGUCCCUUUACAGCAUGGCAUCAUAUUUGCAUAUAACCUAUUUCCAUCUUUAAUGUGUUUAAAGAACAGGGAGCCAGAGCAGGUGCUAUAAGCCUCAGAGAAUUGGAAAUCACAUCAGCUAGGCAACAGAGGGUCAGAAUAUGGAUACUAAUCAGAUAUGCCUUUGUUUCCUUCAAGGGAAUUACAUGGGAAUCUCUUAUUGUAAUGCAUGAACAGACACGGCUUUAAGAACGACAAAACUUCUUGAAAUGCAAAACAGCGAUGAAAAUGCAAGUCUCAGAUUUACUGACAUACAAGAA